AUUGUUUAAAAACAAUGAUUCAAAUAGGAUUGAAAAUCCGCGUGUCGGCGGUUCAAAUCCGUCUCCGGGCACCA
rnacentral:tRNA from 1 species